rnacentral:rRNA from 1 species
AGCAGCCGCCGCGGUAAUACGUAGGGUGCGAGCGUUAAUCGGAAUUACUGGGCGUAAAGCGUGCGCAGGCGGUUAUAUAAGACAGAUGUGAAAUCCCCGGGCUCAACCUGGGACCUGCAUUUGCGACUGUAUAGCUAGAGUACGGUAGAGGGGGAUGGAAUUCCGCGUGUAGCAGUGAAAUGCGUAGAUAUGCGGAGGAACACCGAUGGCGAAGGCAGCCCCCUGGGAUAACACUGACGCUCAUGCACGAAAGCGUGGGGAGCAAACAGGAUUAGAUACCCCCGUAGUCCCUGUCUCUUAUAC